rnacentral:rRNA from 1 species
GGUUAAGUUAGAAAGGGCGCACGGUGGAUGCCUUGGCACUAGGAGCCGAUGAAGGACGGGACGAACACCGAUAUGCUUCGGGGAGCUGUAAGCAAGCUUUGAUCCGGAGAUUUCCGAAUGGGGAAACCCACCACUCGUAAUGGAGUGGUAUCCAUAUCUGAAUACAUAGGAUAUGAGAAGGCAGACCCGGGGAACUGAAACAUCUAAGUACCCGGAGGAAGAGAAAGCAAAUGCGAUUCCCUGAGUAGCGGCGAGCGAAACGGGACCAGCCCAAACCAAGAGGCUUGCCUCUUGGGGUUGUAGGACACUCUGUACGGAGUUACAAAGGAACGAGGUAGAUGAAGAGGUCUGGAAAGGCCCGCCAUAGGAGGUAACAGCCCUGUAGUCAAAACUUCGUUCUCUCCUGAGUGGAUCCUGAGUACGGCGGAACACGUGAAAUUCCGUCGGAAUCCGGGAGGACCAUCUCCCAAGGCUAAAUACUCCCUAGUGACCGAUAGUGAACCAGUACCGUGAGGGAAAGGUGAAAAGCCCGGAAGGGGAGUGAAAGAGAUCCUGAAACCGUGUGCCUACAAGUAGUCAGAGCCCGUUAACGGGUGAUGGCGUGCCUUUUGUAGAAUGAACCGGCGAGUUACGAUCCCGUGCAAGGUUAAGCAGAAGAUGCGGAGCCGCAGCGAAAGCGAGUCUGAAUAGGGCGAAUUGAGUACGUGGUCGUAGACCCGAAACCAGGUGAUCUACCCAUGUCCAGGGUGAAGUUCAGGUAACACUGAAUGGAGGCCCGAACCCACGCACGUUGAAAAGUGCGGGGAUGAGGUGUGGGUAGGGGUGAAAUGCCAAUCGAACCUGGAGAUAGCUGGUUCUCUCCGAAAUAGCUUUAGGGCUAGCCUCAAGGUAAGAGUCUCGGAGGUAGAGCACUGAUUGGACUAGGGGCCCCUACCGGGUUACCGAAUUCAGUCAAACUCCGAAUGCCGAUGACUUAUCCUUGGGAGUCAGACUGCGAGUGAUAAGAUCCGUAGUCGAAAGGGAAACAGCCCAGACCGCCAGCUAAGGUCCCAAAGUAUACGUUAAGUGGAAAAGGAUGUGGAGUUGCUUAGACAACCAGGAUGUUGGCUUAGAAGCAGCCACCAUUUAAAGAGUGCGUAAUAGCUCACUGGUCGAGUGACUCUGCGCCGAAAAUGUACCGGGGCUAAACGUAUCACCGAAGCUGCGGACUGUUCUUCGAACAGUGGUAGGAGAGCGUUCUAAGGGCUGUGAAGCAAGACCGGAAGGACUUGUGGAGCGCUUAGAAGUGAGAAUGCCGGUAUGAGUAGCGAAAGAGGGGUGAGAAUCCCCUCCACCGAAUGCCUAAGGUUUCCUGAGGAAGGCUCGUCCGCUCAGGGUUAGUCGGGACCUAAGCCGAGGCCGAAAGGCGUAGGCGAUGGAUAACAGGUUGAUAUUCCUGUACCACCUCCUCACCAUUUGAGCAAUGGGGGGACGCAGGAGGAUAGGGUAAGCGCGGUAUUGGAUAUCCGCGUCCAAGCAGUUAGGCUGGGAAAUAGGCAAAUCCGUUUCCCGUGAAGGCUGAGCUGUGAUGGCGAGCGAAUUAUAGUAGCGAAGUUCCUGAUUCCACACUGCCAAGAAAAGCCUCUAGCGAGGUGAGAGGUGCCCGUACCGCAAACCGACACAGGUAGGCGAGGAGAGAAUCCUAAGGUGAUCGAGAGAACUCUCGUUAAGGAACUCGGCAAAAUGACCCCGUAACUUCGGGAGAAGGGGUGCUCUGUUAGGGUGCAAGCCCGAGAGAGCCGCAGUGAAUAGGCCCAGGCGACUGUUUAGCAAAAACACAGGUCUCUGCGAAGCCGUAAGGCGAAGUAUAGGGGCUGACGCCUGCCCGGUGCUGGAAGGUUAAGAGGAGCGCUUAGCGUAAGCGAAGGUGCGAAUUGAAGCCCCAGUAAACGGCGGCCGUAACUAUAACGGUCCUAAGGUAGCGAAAUUCCUUGUCGGGUAAGUUCCGACCCGCACGAAAGGCGCAACGAUCUGGGCACUGUCUCAACGAGAGACUCGGUGAAAUUAUAGUACCUGUGAAGAUGCAGGUUACCCGCGACAGGACGGAAAGACCCCGUGGAGCUUUACUGCAGCCUGAUAUUGAAUGUUGGUACAGCUUGUACAGGAUAGGUAGGAGCCUUGGAAACCGGAGCGCCAGCUUCGGUGGAGGCAUCGGUGGGAUACUACCCUGGCUGUAUUGACCUUCUAACCCGCCGCCCUUAUCGGGCGGGGAGACAGUGUCAGGUGGGCAGUUUGACUGGGGUCGCCUCCUAAAAGGUAACGGAGGCGCCCAAAGGUUCCCUCAGAAUGGUUGGAAAUCAUUCGCAGAGUGUAAAGGCACAAGGGAGCUUGACUGCGAGACCUACAAGUCGAGCAGGGACGAAAGUCGGGCUUAGUGAUCCGGUGGUUCCGCAUGGAAGGGCCAUCGCUCAACGGAUAAAAGCUACCCCGGGGAUAACAGGCUUAUCUCCCCAAGAGUCCACAUCGACGGGGAGGUUUGGCACCUCGAUGUCGGCUCAUCGCAUCCUGGGGCUGUAGUCGGUCCCAAGGGUUGGGCUGUUCGCCCAUUAAAGCGGUACGCGAGCUGGGUUCAGAACGUCGUGAGACAGUUCGGUCCCUAUCCGUCGCGGGCGCAGGAAAUUUGAGAGGAGCUGUCCUUAGUACGAGAGGACCGGGAUGGACGCACCGCUGGUGUACCAGUUGUUCUGCCAAGGGCAUCGCUGGGUAGCUAUGUGCGGACGGGAUAAGUGCUGAAAGCAUCUAAGCAUGAAGCCCCCCUCAAGAUGAGAUUUCCCAUUCCGCAAGGAAGUAAGAUCCCUGAAAGAUGAUCAGGUUGAUAGGUCUGAGGUGGAAGUGUGGCGACACAUGGAGCUGACAGAUACUAAUCGAUCGAGGACUUAACCAA